AGAGUUUGAUCCUGGCUCAGAAUGAACGCUGGCGGCGUGCUUAACACAUGCAAGUCGUACGAGAACACUCUAGCUUGCUAGGGUAAGUAAAGUGGCGCACGGGUGAGUAACGCGUGGGUAAUCUACCUUCGAAUUGGGGAUAACGUUGCGAAAGCGACGCUAAUACCGAAUAACAUCCAUUUAUCCUCGGAUUUUUGGAUCAAGGGUGGCCUCUACAUGUAAGCUACUGUUUGAAGAUGAGCCCGCGUACCAUUAGCUUGUUGGUAGGGUAAUGGCCUACCAAGGCUACGAUGGUUAGCUGGUCUGAGAGGAUGAUCAGCCACACUGGAACUGACACACGGUCCAGACUCCUACGGGAGGCAGCAGUGAGGAAUCUUGCGCAAUGGGGGAAACCCUGACGCAGCAACGCCGCGUGAGUGAUGAAGGCUUUCGGGUCGUAAAACUCUGUCAAGUGGGAAGAAACUAUUUCGUGCCAAUACCACGAAAUAUUGACGGUACCACUGAAGGAAGCACCGGCUAACUCCGUGCCAGCAGCCGCGGUAAUACGGGGGGUGCAAGCGUUAUUCGGAAUCAUUGGGCGUAAAGGGCGCGUAGGCGGNCCAGUAAGUCAGAUGUGAAAGCCCGGGGCUCAACCCCGGAAGUGCAUUUGAAACUAUUGGACUUGAGUAUGGGAGAGGGAAGUGG
rnacentral:rRNA from 1 species